rnacentral:rRNA from 2 species
UACAGAGGUCCCGAGCGUUGUUCGGAUUCACUGGGCGUAAAGGGUGCGUAGGUGGUGUCGCAAGUUUGACGUGAAAUCUCCGGGCUUAACCCGGAAACUGCGUUGAAAACUGCGGCGCUGGAGGGUUGGAGGGGGGACUGGAAUUCUCGGUGUAGCAGUGAAAUGCGUAGAUAUCGAGAGGAACACCAGUGGCGAAGGCGGGUCCCUGGACAACACCUGACACUGAGGCACGAAAGCUGGGGGAGCAAACAGG